rnacentral:rRNA from 1 species
UACGAAGGGUGCAAGCGUUAAUCGGAAUUACUGGGCGUAAAGCGUGCGCAGGCGGCUUUGCAAGACAGAUGUGAAAUCCCCGGGCUCAACCUGGGAACUGCAUUUGUGACUGCAAGGCUAGAGUACGGCAGAGGGGGAUGGAAUUCCUGGUGUAGCGGUGAAAUGCGCAGAUAUCAGGAAGAACACCUAUGGCGAAGGCAGCUCUCUGGGACGGUACUGACGCUGAGACGCGAAAGCGUGGGGAGCGAACAGG